GAUGAACGCUGGCGGCGUGCCUAAUACAUGCAAGUAGAACGCUGAAGGAGGAGCUUGCUCUUCUGGAUGAGUUGCGAACGGGUGAGUAACGCGUAGGUAACCUGCCUGGUAGCGGGGGAUAACUAUUGGAAACGAUAGCUAAUACCGCAUGACAACAGUUAUUGCAUAAUAACUGUUUAAAAGGGGCAACUGCUCCACUACCAGAUGGACCUGCGUUGUAUUAGCUAGUUGGUGAGGUAACGGCUCACCAAGGCGACGAUACAUAGCCGACCUGAGAGGGUGAUCGGCCACACUGGGACUGAGACACGGCCCAGACUCCUACGGGAGGCAGCAGUAGGGAAUCUUCGGCAAUGGACGGAAGUCUGACCGAGCAACGCCGCGUGAGUGAAGAAGGUUUUCGGAUCGUAAAGCUCUGUUGUAAGAGAAGAACGAGUGUGAGAGUGGAAAGUUCACACUGUGACGGUAUCUUACCAGAAAGGGACGGCUAACUACGUG
rnacentral:rRNA from 1 species